CAAGGGCAGGUCCCCACUUUUGAGCAUGGUAGGUAUUCAGAUGUUGUUAGGGAGGUGUACAUGGAUUUGAUUACAACUAUGGGGGUAUGAAGAGAAAAUGAAACUGCAGCAGCACAUCCAGUUUGCAGUGAGGUUGUAUAGUAAAAUUAAGUUUUCA